UACGAAGGGGGCUAGCGUUGCUCGGAAUCACUGGGCGUAAAGCGUGCGUAGACGGUUACAUAAGUCGGGUGUGAAAGCCCCGGGCUCAACCUGGGAAUUGCAUUCGAGACUGCGUAGCUAGGGUGCGGAAGAGGGAAGCGGAAUUCCCGGUGUAGCGGUGAAAUGCGUAGAUAUCGGAAGGAACACCAGUGGCGAAAGCGGCUUCCUGGUCCAGCACCGACGUUCAGGCACGAAAGCGUGGGGAGCAAACAGG
rnacentral:rRNA from 1 species